rnacentral:rRNA from 1 species
GAGUUUGAUCAUGGCUCAGAACGUACGCUGGCGGCACGCCUAACACAUGCAAGUCGAACGAAGUAGCAACACUUAGUGGCAGACGGGUGAGUAACAUGUAGGUAUCUGCCCUUUGGCCUGGAAUAACACGAGGAAACUUGUGCUAAUACCGGAUAAGUCUUUACGGAGAAAGCUUUAUGCACCAUUGGAUGAGCCUGCACUUGAUUAGUUUGUUGGUGGGGUAAUGGCCUACCAAGACUGUGAUCAAUAGCUGAUUUGAGAGGAUGAUCAGCCACAUUGGGACUGAGACACGGCCCAAACUCCUACGGGAGGCAGCAGUGGGGAAUCUUGCACAAUGGAGGAAACUCUGAUGCAGCGAUGCCGCGUGAGUGAAGAAGGCCCUUGGGUUGUAAAGCUCUUUCGUCGGGGAAGAAAAUGACUGUACCCGAAUAAGAAGGUCCGGCUAACUUCGUGCCAGCAGCCGCGGUAAUACGAAGGGACCUAGCGUAGUUCGGAAUUACUGGGCUUAAAGAGUUCGUAGGUGGUUGAAAAAGUUAGUGGUGAAAUCCCAGAGCUUAACUCUGGAACUGCCAUUAAAACUUUUCAGCUAGAGUAUGAUAGAGGAAAGCAGAAUUUCUAGUGUAGAGGUGAAAUUCGUAGAUAUUAGAAAGAAUACCAAUUGCGAAGGCAGCUUUCUGGAUCAUUACUGACACUGAGGAACGAAAGCAUGGGUAGCGAAGAGGAUUAGAUACCCUCGUAGUCCAUGCCGUAAACGAUGUGUGUUAGACGUUGGAAAUUUAUUUUCAGUGUCGCAGCGAAAGCGAUAAACACACCGCCUGGGGAGUACGACCGCAAGGUUAAACUCAAUGAAUUGACGGGGACCCGCACAGUAGUGAAGCAUGUGGUUUAAUUCGAAGAUACGCGCAGACUUACUACACUUGACAUGUCGUCGCGACUCUAGAGAUAGAGGUUUCGUCCGCGACGAACACAGUGCUGCAUGCUGUCGUCAGCUCGUGUCGUGAAUGUAGUUAGGUCCGGCACGAGCGCAACUUACGUUAGUUGCAUCAUAGUUGGCAUUGAGACUGCAUGCAACUGAACGUGCAUGACUAGUCUAUGGCCUUACGGUUGGCUACACACCGU